UUUCUGUACAUACUGGCCUAUCACUCUGUUCCACAAAGCAGACAUCUCCAAAUCUGGGACAAACAAAUUCCAAACUGCAUAGAAACCACCAGACGGACUGCAAAAUGAUAUCAGUCUUCAACAUGUCAGCUGUAGAACAGUGAACUUCCACUGGAAAACACCGUCAUCUGGAGUGUGAAAGUGACACAUUACCAUACCUCAAUCUGGGUGACUCAGUAGACAUGUUAGUUGCAGUCCCCUGCACUUAUCUAAACAGUUAUUGCUAA